ACGAACGCUGGCGGCGUGCUUCACACAUGCAAGUCGAACGGAAAGGCCCUGCUUUUGUGGGGUGCUCGAGUGGCGAACGGGUGAGUAACACGUGAGUAACCUGCCCUUGACUUUGGGAUAACUUCAGGAAACUGGGGCUAAUACCGGAUAGGAGCUCCUGCUGCAUGGUGGGGGUUGGAAAGUUUCGGCGGUUGGGGAUGGACUCGCGGCUUAUCAGCUUGUUGGUGGGGUAGUGGCUUACCAAGGCUUUGACGGGUAGCCGGCCUGAGAGGGUGACCGGCCACAUUGGGACUGAGAUACGGCCCAGACUCCUACGGGAGGCAGCAGUGGGGAAUAUUGCACAAUGGGCGGAAGCCUGAUGCAGCAACGCCGCGUGCGGGACGACGGCCUUCGGGUUGUAAACCGCUUUCGCCUGUGACGAAGCGUGAGUGACGGUAAUGGGUAAAGAAGCACCGGCUAACUACGUG
rnacentral:rRNA from 1 species